UGUACCUGCCCCCUGGAAUCACACACAGACACACACGCUGCGGACCGUGUGCCAAGCCCUAUUUCAGCACCGGGGCCGCCAGCCCGGCGCGCCGCGCAGACCGCCCGGGCACCCGGCCCCCGGCGGCCCCGCUCUGGAGCGCCGCUAAACUGCGGGCCGAGACGGGACUUUGCAGCCCACGAAGCCAGGUGCUGCGAGCGCGGCGGGGCUCCCCGUCCCCGGGGGCGUAACUCGGGUCCCGAAGAAGGCGACGAAGACGCGCCACCGAGUAACGGGGCCGGGAGCCCCGACAAGACAAACACGGCCGAAGCCAGGGCCCCGAGGGACCGGCCGCUCUGACCCACGCGAAAAUAAAAAAAAGGGGCUUUUUCCGGCGUGGACGGAGGCGCGGGAGCCGCGGACACGGCUCUGGACGAACCAGUAGAAAUAACCCCCAUGAACAGCGCUGAAAACGGGGAGGGAUUUUUCGACACAUUCACUCGACCGCCGGAUCUUCUGCUCUGCCCAGCGGACGAUUUCUAAUGUCAAAGCUAAAAGGACUUUCCAUCCUUCGGCGGGUUUUGUAUUUGGGAAACUGGCUCCAAUCUAUCCCCGUUCGAGCUAAAUCAACGGGUCAACAGUUGCGCCCUGAAAUACACAGCCCCGCACAAACCCCGCAGGCACUAUGUGGCCACUAAGAUUUGAAGAAGUCUGGUCCACCCCCCCCUGCCCUCCCCCCCCCCAGAGAGAGGUUUCCUGCUCGUUGGACUGGGGACGUUCUGCGGCUGGUAGAUAAGAG